AAGAACGACAGAGAAAGGGAGACGAGAGAGAUGGAGAGCCGAGAGAGAAGAAGAAGAGAGGAUAAACCUCUGUUCCGCUUUGCACGGCCUUUCUUCUGUGGAGAGAAGAGAGAGCCGAGAGAGAAGAAGAAGAGAGAAAAACACCUCUGUUCCGCUUUGCCCGGCUUUUGUUCUGCUCUGCCCACCCGCUGUUAAGUAUAUUCCUGAUGCAAAGGGUUUUCUGUUCAUUUUCGAUUCUCUUGGUCUGAUUUUACAUUCUCUUGUUCCGACUGCACUGCUUAUUUCACUCGCCAUCCUUUACUGCUUGAACCUUGUCGAGCUUAAUAUUUUAUUUCCUUAUUUCCUAGGUGAGGACUUGGAGCCUAAUAUAUAUAUAUAUAUAUUUUCUUGUGUGAUGUUAGAUCUGGAGUGGGACAAAAUGGGAAAGAAAAGAGUCUGAUGAGAAGUCAAGAACCGAGAAAAGCUUUUGAUGCUGGAAAAGGUUUAGGAAUACAAGAAGACGAAUGAUGAAGAAGCUGCUGUGGUUGCUGCAUCUACUGUUAUGGAUGCUGCUAGUGCAGUUGCUCUUGCAAGGAGUUCAAGUAAUACUAAUGAUGAUUUGGAGAAUUCAAAGCCUAUGGAACCAGAGAGUAUAACUGAUUUCGCUGAAUUUUCUAUUCCAGAUGGUCAUUCCCUCUCGAAGUUGAGAGAGAGAUUCUGUAUCCAGUGUCUUGUGUUUCUUGGGGAGUAUGUUGAAGUUCUUGGUCCUGUACUCCGUGAGAAGGGAGUAGAUGUAUGCCUUGCAUUAUUGCUUCGAAGUCUUAAGCUCAAAGAAACAACACCCUACACUAAAUUCCUUAUGAAUGAUACUUUGAAGCUAAUAUGUGCAUUGACUGCUCAUAGAAAGUUUUCUUCAAUUGUUUGUUGAUCCUGGUGGCAUGCAGAGACUCCUUCCGUCUCCAAGAAAUGCCCAUACAUAUGUUGGUCUUUCUUCCUUCUUAUUUACUAUUGAGUCAAUUCAGGUGAUGAUGGAGUGUAUUUGUUCUCUUCCGCGGAAUAUUGUCCAUCAGAUUGUUGAGUUGGCUCUCCAAACCAAGCCAGAUAGGUCAGAUAGAAUGCUUAUUUUUUGCUGCUACUUUUGUCUUUAGAGCGGUCAUGCUACAUUGCCCAAUGUCGGGUUGGGUAUAGCUGUCAUUUUGGAUGCUGCAAAUGGUGCUGGUUAUGUUGAACCUGAGAUUGUUGAACCAGUUUUUAAUUUGUUAAUAAACCUCAUCUGCCAUCCUCCAUCAACAAGCAAUAGGCCAAGUUUCAUGCAAGGUCAGCAAGCUUCUUCUACCCAUGCUGGAAAUCAAUCUGCUAUAGACUCUAGGGACAGAAAUUCAGAGAGAUAUGUCCCAGAGCGUGGUGCCAGCAUUCCAAAUCAGAAUGAAUCAAGGGACCGAACUGGGGAACUGACUUCUGUGGAUAGAGGUGAUGGAGAUCGUCAAGCUAGAGAAGUUGUUUGUGCAAACCAAGAUGUAGCUUGGUGCUGCUGUUUUUUCAGUUUAUUAAUCAACUGGGGAACUGACUUCUGUGAAUAGAGGUGAUGGAGAUCGUCAAGCUAGAGAAGUUGUUUAUGCAAACCAUGGUUUAGCAAGAGAUGAGGCAAUUGCACAUAUAUUGACGUCACUUCAGGCACCUAGCUUUGGACAAUCAACCACCAGAGGCUUCUUUCUUUUCAAUACAGUCGCGGAAGGGGAUGAUGCUGCAUUUCUGGUAAUUCGCCACCUAUGUAGAGCUUGUAGUGCAAAUUGGUAAGAGUCAAGGAGACUAUGUAGGAGCUAAAAUCCAAUCCUACUCCUUUGAGUGGAUAUGCAUAUUUCAGGUAUUUAGACUUCGAUUUGAACUUUUUUUUAGGGGUUUCUAUGGAAAAUAAUCUCAUUGUGUGUUAUACUCUAUCUCUCAUUUUAACGGUUUCUAGUAUCUAUAUAUUUUCAUGUAUAGAAGAACAAUAAAUCUUUUUGGGUGUGUAGUUUUUUAUAAGGCAAUUUGAGUAUGUGUUAUGUUGUGGUUAUGCUCGGUUGAUUGUCCCUUGUCACCAUGAAACUUGAUGUUUAUGAAUAAUCAAACAAGUAAUUCUUGGAUUUCUUGCCUUAUUUGAUGUUGGGGGAUGUAUGUUUGUUUGAUAUGGUCCAUCAGAUGAUAAAGGUAUGGAUUUGGAAAUUGGAAAUCAACCUAAGCCAAUGUGCUUUACAUACUAUUGCUUCUUGUUUCUUCUAUGUAUAUAUCCUACAUCUUAUCUUUUUGGUCACACACUGCAUUUGCUUCAACAACCUUGUUAAAUUGAAGGAUUCUUAUUGAAGGGGUUGAAUGGUCUGUCUACAGACAGAGCAUGAUCACUGCAAAUCGGUCGUGGUUGGUUCAUUCAUUAUGUUGGGUGGAAUCAUUGAUCACUGAGAAUCGGUUUUGAUUUUCAAGUUUGAAUUCUUUCUGGUUGUUUUAAUCUGGGCUGAGGAUUGGGCUGUUGUAUGUUGGGCUUGAUUGCAUGGGCUGAGGUUUGGAUGGCCUCCUCUGUAAUUUGUUUUAUUUUCUUAAUUAGGAUUAGGAAUUGGUUCUAAUCGUGUUUGCUGCCAUGCAAUUUCCUUAUUAUAUAUAAAAUUAUAAUUAAAAAAAAAGGGUUUGUAUUUUUUAUAGCAUUUAUUUUAUUUCUACCUUCAUUCUUGCAUCAAUGUUGUUUCUACUUUGCAUAAUAACUCACUUGGUAUUCAUAUAAUUUGUAGGUGGUGCCAAUGAGGGGAAAUUGGGGCUCAAUGAAGAUGCAUUUCAUUGGGAUUUUAUAAGACUUCUUUCCAAUAUAUAUACUAAUAUUUUUUUUUUGUUUAAAUUCUUGCGCAUUUAUGCAUACAUACAUUCUUUUUUAUAGCAUCUAUUUUAUUUCUAUCUCCGUACUUGCAUUGAUGUUUUUAUUUUUAUUUUUAUUUUAUUUUACAUAAUAACUAUCUUCUUCUUCGUUGUUUCUUCUUUUGUAGGUGGCACAAUUGGAAGAUUUGGGACUUAAUGUACAUGAACUCGAUCCAUAUUUCAAGCAAAGCGAGUUUAAGGAUUUAAGAAAUAGUCUAAUAUUUAUGGUUUAAGGAAUAGGGCAUAGGACAUAGAUGUAAUGUGUGUCUAGGAUCUAGGACUUCGGACGUGGCAUAGGGCAUAGACAUUAAAAAUGUUGUUAGUAUUUGUAUUUAAGAUAGUGUAUAGCGUCUAGUAUUGAAUGUUUUAGGGCAUUGGGUAUGGGCAUUAGAAGUGUACUUAGUUGUCCAUACUUUGGGAUAUGGUGUAUCGUAUCUAGUAUUUAGUUCUUUAAGGUAUGCGGCAUAGGACAUAGCUUGAGCAUAGAACAUAGCCUGAUAAUAUUUAAGGUUUAGAAAAUAGGGCAUGGGACAUAGAUGUUGGGUGUGUCUAGAAGGAUACAGAAGAUUAUGCCAUUUGUAUAAAUGGUUAGUUUUUUUGUUGUGUGUGCAAGUAUUUGUGUACUAACUAGUGCAUGUAAAUGAUUAGUUUUUAUGUUGUAUGAGCUUGUGAUUAGUUGACUUUGCCUCUUUUGAAUUUAUCUAUUGCAAUGUUUUGACAAGUGAUUGUUUUGUGUGCAUGGUUUGAUAGAUGAGUAGUUUUUAUGUUGUGUGUUUGGUUUGUAUACUUGUGUGCAUGUAUUGUAUAUGAUUAGUUUUUAUGUUGUGUGUAUAAAUUAUUAGUUUACUUUCCCUGUGUGAUUGCAUAUAAUUGAGUUGGUUUUUAUGUUUUUUGUGCAUGCUUGAAAAGUGAUUGGUUUUUAUGUUGUGUGUGAUUAGUUGACUUUGAUUAAAGUUUGAAUUAUCUAUUGCAAUGUUUUACAAGUGAUUGUUUUGCAUGCAUGCAUACAAAUUAAAUGUUGUGUAUGCUUGUGUGUUUGUUUAGUUGGUUUUGACUUGCUUGGUUGAAGUUUGGAUUUAUCUAUUGUAAUUUUCUUAAU